rnacentral:rRNA from 1 species
AUUGAACGCUGGCGGAAUGCUUUACACAUGCAAGUCGAACGGCAGCACGGACUUCGGUCUGGUGGCGAGUGGCGAACGGGUGAGUAAUACAUCGGAACGUGCCCAAUCGUGGGGGAUAACGUAGCGAAAGCUACGCUAAUACCGCAUACGAUCUAAGGAUGAAAGCGGGGGAUCGCAAGACCUCGCGCGAUUGGAGCGGCCGAUGGCAGAUGAGGUAGUUGGUAGGGUAAAGGCCUACCAAGCCGACGAUCUGUAGCUGGUCUGAGAGGAUGAUCAGCCACACUAGGACUGAGACACGGCCCAGACUGCUACGGGAGGCAGCAGUGGGGAAUUUUGGACAAGGGACGCAAGUCUGAUCCAGCAAUGCCGCGUGCAGGAUGAAGGCCCUCGGGUUGUAAACUGCUUUUGUACAGAACGAAAAGGCUCUGGUUAAUACCUAGGGCUCAUGACGGUACUGUAAGAAUAAACACCGGCUAACUACGUGCCAGCAGCCGCCGUAA